GACGAACGCUGGCGGCGUGCUUAACACAUGCAAGUCGAACGGAAAGGCCCUGCUUUCGUGGGGUGCCCGAGUGGCGAACGGGUGAGUAACACGUGAGUAACCUGCCCUUGACUUUGGGAUAACUUCAGGAAACUGGGGCUAAUACCGGAUAGGAGCUCCUGCUGCAUGGUGGGGGUUGGAAAGUUUCGGCGGUUGGGGAUGGACGCGCGGCUUAUCAGCUUGUUGGUGGGGUAGUGGCUUACCAAGGCAUUGACUGGUAGCCGGCCUGGGAGGGUGGACGCGCACAUGGGGCCUACGGUACGGCCCAGUCUCCAACGGGAGGCAGCGGUGGGGAGUAUUACACAAUGAGCGGGAGCCUGAUGCGGCGGCGCUGCGUGCGGGAUGACGGCCUUCGGGUUGUGAACCGCUUUCGCCUAUGACGAAGCGUGAGUGACGGUACUGGGUAAAGAAGCACCGGCUAACUACGUG
rnacentral:rRNA from 1 species